UACAGAGGGUGCAAGCGUUGUUCGGAAUUAUUGGGCGUAAAGCGCGUGUAGGCGGCUUUGCAAGUCGGGUGUGAAAGCCCUCAGCUUAACUGAGGGAGUGCGCCCGAAACUGCAGAGCUUGAGUACCGGAGAGGAUGGCGGAAUUCCCCAAGUAGAGGUGAAAUUCGUAGAUAUGGGGAGGAACACCGGUGGCGAAGGCGGCCAUCUGGACGGAUACUGACGCUGAGACGCGAAAAGCGUGGGUAGCAAACAGG
rnacentral:rRNA from 1 species